GUGGAAGUGAGGAUCCUUUCCCCAAAUGAUCGACUAUGAUUAUACUGUGCGCAAAUGAAAUCCUUUAUUAGAGGAUUCCAAGCCAGAAAUCUGAUCCAU
rnacentral:snoRNA from 1 species